CUUUCAGAAAAUGUGCCCCUGACUGUGGUCAUUGUUAACAGAGCCUUUCACUCAUCCCAUCCAUUUUCUGCACCUCUGCUCUUACCCAACCACCUGGCCCCACCUUCUCUGGGACUCUACAUAGGGACUCUGCCUGCUGGCUGCCUGGCUGCAGUGUUUCCCUGUGAGCCUAUGAGGGGUCUGGUGACUUUAACACUCCUUAAAUUGAUCCAAGUAAAGGUGAUUUUCAGAAUAAACGCUGACAGAGGUUUUGCAAAGGUCUCAUAGGAUGUCUGACAAUCUGCUUCAAAACUCUUCUUUAAAC